AUCAUACUUGGUUGGUUUUAAAAUAAAUACCAGAAGAGAUGAUCACUGCUAUUCGUUUCAUUCUUCCAGGUCGAACUGUAUUUGUCCCAGGGGAGAAUGCAAAGCUGAAACGACAGAGUGCUUGCGGUAUACGUCAGAUGUUAUUAUUACACCCCUGUGUACCUUGGCGGAAAGUCAGUGCCAGUGUGUCGCUGAGCAAGGUCCAGCUGCCCACCGCGAGCAUGUUGUUGCUCUGCUUCUGAAAACGACACAGAGAGUUUGAGAAAGAGAAAUCAUACUUCCUAGUACAUGUAUCAUUUCAAGAACUGCAGUCAUUUCACAACCCAUGGAUAUGAAAUGCAAAUCAGCUGGAGACUUGAAGUCCUAUACAAAAAGAAUCGUAACCACAGGAUUCGAGAUGCGUACAUCAACUUUCGUAGAUUUCAUUACAGCUGUAUGCCUUCCAAGCAUACUAUUAUGCCGGUCUUCACAUUCGGCAUAUGAAGCUCAAGUGCCCGUCAAAAUGUCCUUGAUUUUUCACUUUUUCGAUCGAUUAAUUGGCGAUAACUCGAUCAAUUUCAUAGAUGAAAUUAUUUUGCUUGUAGAUUCGGAUUCCUGAGAUCAAAAUACAUGAGGAUAGCGUAAGGAACCCUUGAAAAAAAAAAUCUCUCCUUUCAUCUCAGAUUUUGAGAAAAUUCCAAGGCUAUAGGCUUACCGUUUUUUUCGGCAAAAAAGUGAAGUAUUCCCCAAUAUAAUUCUAGGACGCUUUUUCUACGUAAAAAAGCGUACCGAACAAGAAGCCGUCAAUCAAAUUGAGCUGGCGUAAGAUCCCAUCGAGAUUCGGAUUCCAGAGAUCAAAAUACAUCGGAAUAACAUAGAAAUUCUCAUGAAUAAAAUUCUCUCCAGAUACUCCGGAAAGAUGUUCCUAGACCUGGUGCCUCAUCAUGUCCAGGCCUUCAUUUCUGUGUAAUAAAUCAUACUUUUACAGGGUACAAUGUAGACAUAAGCUAGUUUCAUGCUGGCCUGAUUUUAUGCAAUCAUAUGUAUUCAAUCCCACUUCUAUCAAUACAUUCACUGCAAUUACCACAA